rnacentral:tRNA from 3 species
UGGUCCGUUGGUCAAGAGGUUAAGACACCGCCCUUUCACGGCGGUAACACGGGUUCGAGUCCCGUACGGACCAU